GACGAACGCUGGCGGCGUGCCUAAUACAUGCAAGUCGAGCGAAUCACUGGGAGCUUGCUCCCGGUAGUUAGCGGCGGACGGGUGAGUAACACGUGGGCAACCUGCCUGUAAGACUGGGAUAACACCGGGAAACCGGUGCUAAUACCGGAUAAUCCUUUCCUGUACAUGCAGGAAAGCUGAAAGUCGGUUUCGGCUGACACUUACAGAUGGGCCCGCGGUGCAUUAGCUAGUUGGUGAGGUAACGGCUCACCAAGGCGACGAUGCGUAGCCGACCUGAGAGGGUGAUCGGCCACACUGGGACUGAGACACGGCCCAGACUCCUACGGGAGGCAGCAGUGGGGAAUUGUUCGCAAUGGGCGCAAGCCUGACGACGCAACGCCGCGUGGAGGAUGAAGGUCUUCGGAUUGUAAACUCCUGUUGCCCGGGACGAAUGGCUUCGACCUAACACGUCGAAGUUUGACGGUACCGGGUGAGGAAGCCCCGGCUAACUCUGUGCCAGCAGCCGCCGCGGUAA
rnacentral:rRNA from 1 species